rnacentral:rRNA from 1 species
UACGUAGGGGGCAAGCGUUGUCCGGAAUCAUUGGGCGUAAAGAGCGUGUAGGCGGUCCGGUAAGUCGGCUGUGAAAGUCCAGGGCUCAACCCUGGGAUGCCGGUCGAUACUGCCGGACUAGAGUUCGGAAGAGGCGAGUGGAAUUCCCGGUGUAGCGGUGAAAUGCGCAGAUAUCAGGAGGAACACCGAUUGCGAAGGCAGCUCGCUGGGACGUUACUGACGCUGAGACGCGAAAGCGUGGGGAGCAAACAGG